rnacentral:misc_RNA from 1 species
GUGUCUGCUGGUAGAUCCCCCGUUUUUGUGCGGCCGACUACCGGCGCCGUGUCCCGUCGUUCCUGUGGCUUUGUGUUACCGUUGCCUUUCAAGUGCUUGCGUGCUGGUACCCGAACUAAGGGAAUUGGUGCUACGUACAUGUUGCCUCGCGGUGGACGCCUUCGGGUGUGCUGCUGCGGCCAAAUGGCGCUUGCGGCGUUGCCUCGUUACGCUUUCACGUUUACGUGGUUGUUGUUAUCAAAGGCAACCUCGCUCCUGCUGUUGGUCUCGGAUGUUGCCCACGAUGAAGUCUCAUGGCCCUUUUUGGUUGCCUAGACCCGACCCUAAGAAGCUCUCCGAAUUGAGAACAACCGGAACAGGUGUUGCCUCUACGUAUUCCGCAGUUAGUGGUAUGAUACGCAACAUUUUGCGCCGAUCCUCAAAUAAGUAGGAUGAGCUUAGCCCGCUCAAUUGUGACAUCCCGGCCCGGGGACCGCUUCUGGCUUGACACGCAAGUGGACGGACGGACGACUCCCGACGCUGGACGUCAACAAG